rnacentral:rRNA from 1 species
UUGACGCUGGCGGCGGCYUAACACAUGCAAGUCGAGCGGAUAGAGGUAGCUUGCUACUGAUCUUAGCGGCGGACGGGUGAGUAAUGCUUAGGAAUCUGCCUGUUAGUGGGGGACAACAUUUCGAAAGGAAUGCUAAUACCGCAUACGUCCUACGGGAGAAAGCAGGGGAUCUUCGGACCUUGCGCUAUUAGAUGAGCCUAAGUCGGAUUAGCUAGUUGGUGGGGUAAAGGCCUACCAAGGCGACGAUCYGUAACUGGUCUGAGAGGAUGAUCCGYCACACUGGRACUGAGACACGGYCCAGACUCCUACGGGAGGCAGCAGUGGGGAAUAUUGGACAAUGGGCGCAAGCCUGAUCCAGCCAUGCCGCGUGUGUGAAGAAGGCCUUAUGGUUGUAAAGCACUUUAAGCGAGGAGGAGGGUCCUUUAGUUAAUACCUAGAUAUUGU